rnacentral:lncRNA from 1 species
UUGAAUUACGCCAAAAAAAGCAGAAACAACCAUGCAAAUGAUGAUGAGUUUGAUGAUCUUUUGGAGGCAGCAAUCAAGGAUUACCAACACUACUAUCACCUGCAAGCCACAGGAGUUUUAGACAAUAAUACAGUAUCUCAAAUGACGAAACCUAGAUGUGGGGUGCCAGAUGUUGUCAAAAAUGGCACAAACAAGCACUACCAUAAUCCCAAAUCCAUCCACUCAGUAGCCCAUUUCAGCUUCUUCCCUGGACCCCGAAGAUGGCCAGCAGAGAGAAGCCAUUUAAGAUACAGGUUUCGUUCCAGUGUGCAAGUCCCUGGAACUGGCAAUUUCAGGUCCAUAUGUGCACAAGCAUUUCAGAGAUGGGCACAAGUUACCCACUUCACAUUCGAGGAAGUUGAUGCUAAUUCUGAGGCAGAAAUCGAGAUUGGAUUUCACAGGAGGUUCCAUGGAGAUAGUGACCCCUUUGAUGGAAUAUCAGGGACUUUCGCACAUGCAACUGCACCAACUCAUGGAAGGUGCCAUUUUGAUGGAGAUGAGAUAUGGAGUGGAAAUCCUGGACCUAAUGAGUUGGACUUGGAAUCAGUUGCAGUGCAUGAAAUCGGGCACCUUCUAGGUCUAGACCAUAGUGAAGACCCAAAUGCUAUAAUGUAUUCUACCUUUGAUUAUGGGAUUACCAAAAGGGAUUUGGGUACUGAUGAUAUUCAAGGAAUUCGUACUCUGUAUGGAUUGCAGUAAUGAGUUCAUUAUUCUUAUUACAAUAAGAGCAACUGAGAUCCAAUAUGCUUUGGAGGGUUUAGUGCUACGUAGUUUGAAUAUAAUAUUUUUGAUAAUUCUCAUUUGUAUCACUAGGAAAUAUAUAAAUAAAAGAAAUCUCAUGGUUUUGUAAUUUCAAAUCCUUUUAAAACUAUAUGACUUCUUUAUAAAAUCUCUACACAAAGAUGUAAAAAAGAAAAAAAAAAAAAUCAAAUGUCUUAAUGAUCAGUAUUGAGUAUAAUUAAUUAAACUUGUAUAAUGCAUUAAUUUUAUUUCCAUUUGACUAUUAUUUUAAUUUUACAGUCCUUUUAAAUGAUAAAAUUACUUAUCUUACAAAUUAAAAUAUAUAAUUAAAAAAUAUAUAUGUAUUCCAUCUAUUUCAAUUUACCAACUUUAUUACAAGUGAAUGAAUACUUUUUUACGAAAUAAUCUUUUAAAAGCAAAUACUAUAAUUUUUAGAUUUAGUUAGUGGAAAGACAUAAUUAAAACAGAGAAAUCAAUAUUCAAUAUGUAGAAGGAUUUGAUUUAAAUUUUAGCAGAAGUCCCAAGAUUUUUUUAUGAUUUUUCAAUAUCGGGAACUAUAAGUAUUGAUUAAAAUGAUUUCUAAAAGUUAAUUUAUUUUUAAAUAUAUCUUUGACAAAUCCAACUAGAGAAAAAUUAUAACAAGAUUAGGGAUGGCAGGCGGGCGGGUUUUCAUGGGUAUCCGAUCCGCCCAAACCCUAUUAGGACGGAUUUGGUUUUUACAAAAUGGAUUUGGGCGAAUUCGGAUUUGAAAAAUUUUACCCGUCUCGGAUUCGGGUAGGGUUCGGGAUUAGGUAAUCGGAUACCCAUUACCCGAACCCGAUUAACUAUACUAACAAAACUAACCCUAAUCUCUAAUUUAUUUUUUUAUUUUACUCUUUCCUCUCUUCAUCUACAUCUCUCUCUCCCUCGCUUCCCUUCCCAUAGUUCUCAGCCACGCCCCUCCCCCACUUCACUGCCGGCAGCCCAGUCGUCACCGGCGACGUCUCCUUUCUCUCCCCAGUCGACGAUAAAUCUUCUCUUUCCUCCGUCAGCAAUAUCUCCUUCUCUCUCUCCAGCGGCGACAUCUCCGACUUUCCAGUUGAAGACAACUCUUCCCUGUGCCCGGUCGACGUCGGCGAUAUCUCCUUCUCUCUUCCUAGUCGGGUGAAAUCUACUCUUUUCAAUUUACGCUUCUCUCCCCGCACUUCACUGACGCUAGAGACAACCCUUCUCUCCUCAAUCGGCGACAUCUGCUUUGACUAGAACUCUCUUCAGGUUUCAAGAUCUUUUAUGUGUAUGUUCUUAAAGAAUUUUAUAAUUUAUAAACUAUUAAUCUGAUUAUUUGGAUAUAUUAAAAAAUCUAAUUAUUUGCUAUUUGAUUAAUGUAAUACUGUUGAUUUUUAAAAUUUAUGGACAAUUAUCUAAUUAUUUGAUUAUAAAUCAAUAUUUGUUGGGUUGCUGAGUUGCUGGUUCUUGUCAUUGAACAUUUCUCCUCCUACUGAAUUGUGCAACUGUUAGAUAGUUUAUUUGGUUUUGUCAUUGAAUGAAAUUAAAAAAAUUAUUUGCUGAGUUGCUGGUUUGUAUCGAGUUCGGGUAUUGUGCGGGUAUUGUUAAACGGGUUUGGAACGGGUUCGGAUAGUAAAAUUAAAAUAUUAAACGAGUUUGGGACGGGUUCGGGAAUUGUAUAUAUAAUCGGGUUUGGGUUUGGGUACUCUCAAUUUCGCGGGUACCCUACCCAUUUACAUCCCUAAACAAGAUAAGUAUCGAUUAAAAUGAUUUCUAAAAGUUAAUUUAUUUUUAAAUAUAUCUUUAACAAAUCCAUCUAGAGAAAAAUUAUAACAAGAUAAUUCUUCAAUAAUAAAUUUGCCAUACAAACAUAGGUUUUUCUAUUUCAAAGUUACUUAGUUCUUCUCUAUAAAAUGUGAAUUACCUUAUGCACUAUAAAAAAACCUUCGGAUUAUCCACAGAUUUUAUCAACGAAUUUUAAUCUGUUAAUAAUUUUAAUAAAUUUAAAAAUUAAUUAGUAAUUUUUAUAUAAUUUAUAUGUAUUAUUAAAAAAAUUUAAAAAUGAGUGGUAAUUUAUAAAUAAUUAAAAUAAUCGGUGAUGAAAUUUCCUAACGAAUUUAAAACCUAUUAGUAAAUUCUUUGAUAAUUUACUAAUAAAUUUCAAUAUGUCAGUAAAUCUAAAAAAAUAUUUAAAUUAAUAACAAAUUAUAAAUCUAUUACUAAUAUAUUUAAAAAAUCAUUAUCGAAUUUAAAAAUUUAUUAUUAAAUUUUAUUAUUAUAUUAAUAAAUUAAAAAAAUAUUAAAUUUAUCGAUGUUAUCCAUUAGUAAAUCAUUGAUAAAUUUAAAAUGAAAUCAGAUGUAAAAUUUUUACUUUUUCUUUAGAUUUAUAGUUGUCGGUUAAUGACGAAUUUCAAAUCCGUCGAGAAAAAAUCUAAUUUCUUUUUUUGUAAAAUUUAGUAACGAAUUAUGAAUCCAUUACUAAUUCAUAUUUAUAAAUAUAACACUAUCUCUUUUUCUUUUAUUACUCAUUCAUUUUAUCAUUUUUUUUUAUUUUUUUUCCCUUUCUCUCAUUUUUUUUCUUUUUCUAUUAUUUUCUUUUUCACUUUAUUAUUUCAUAAUUUUUUUUAUUUUUUCUAUUAUUUUCUUUUCUAUCUCUUAUAUUUUUUUUCUCUCAUUCUCUUUUCUCUUUUAUUAUUUUUUUCAUUUUUUUCUCAUAAUUUUCUUUUAGCUUUCUCCAUUAUUUUUCCAUCAUUUUCUUCCCUUUACCUCUCAUUUUCUUCAUUUUCUAUAUAAUUCAUUCAUAUUGCCCUUAUUUGAAAUGUCAAAUUUUGAAAGAAUUCGAAAAAUAAAUAAAUUCCUUUAUUAAAUUUUUGUGUUUGGUACAAUCAAUAAUAUAAAAUUUUAAUUUUCUUGAUUUUCGUGAGAAUUGAUUUUGAAUUAAAAGUAAAUUUUGCCAAAAUUAUUGAAUUUUUACAAAAAAAAAAUUUUAUUUAAAGUUACAUCAAAAUUACUUAAUUAGCCAUUGAAUUUUUUUUUUAAAUUUAAUUUUAAAUUUAUUUCUUAUUUUUAAUUAAUAAUUACUCUUUAUAAAAAUUAUUUUAAUUUAAUAGUAACUAUUAAUAUUUAAUGCAUUUAUAAUUAAUAUUAACAAAUUUAUUAUAUUAUUUUAUUAAUUUUAAAAAUAUUUUUUAUAUUUUAAUGGUAAAAAAUUACGUAAAAUUCAAACUUUAAAUAUUAAUAAUGAUUGUGAUAAAAAUGAAUGUUAUUUAUAAAAAUAAAUAUUUAUAUUUGUUUAAAAAUAAUAAGAAUAUAAAUGAAUUAAAUUAAAUUAAAUUUUAUUAUUAAUUUGUCUAACAUAAAUGAGUUAAAUUGAAUUCUAUUAUAUUUAAAUUGAUUCUAAAUAAAUGAAUUUUUUCAGAAAUAAAUUGAAUUUUUUAAUGAAUUGCAUACCAAAUAAGGGCAUUAAUUACUCUCAUAUUAUAUUCUUUUAUCAUUUUUCUUCUAUCAAUAUUUCUUUCUAUUAUUCUCUUUUUUUUUAUUUUCUUGUAUAAUUAUUUGUCCCUUUUUUUUCAUUUCUCUAAUCAUUAUUUUACUCUAUAUUCAUUCUUCCUUCUUUUUUCAUAAUUUUUAUUUUUUUAUUAUUUUCUUUUUUUAUCAUUUUCUCUUCAUCUAUAUUAUUUAUUUUUCUCUUAUUUUUAUUUUUAUGUAUUUCUAAUAAAUAUUGAAUAUAAAUUAAGAAUUUAGUAACAAUAAUAAUAUAAUUUUAAAUUUUAUUGAAGUAAUAAAAAAUAAUAUUAAUAAUAAAAUUUAUUAUUUAAUUAAAAUAAUAAUUAUUUUUAAAUUAUUUAAAUUUUUAAUAUGAAUUUAGUGACAAAUUGCAAUCUGUUAUUAAUUUAUUAAUGGAUUUAUCAACAGUAUCUGUUAAUAAAAUAUUUUUCUUUCAAUUUAUUAAUAAAUUUAAAAUUCAUUAGUAAUAAUAACAGAAAUUUCACUGAUAAAUAUGUUAAUAUUUUUUAAUAGACUUAAAAACUAUUGGUAAAAAUUUAUCGACGAAUUUUUUCAUAACGGAUUGUAAUCCAUUAGUAAUCAUUAUAAACGAAUUACUAAUAAAUUUUAAUUAAUUAGAUUAUUAACGAAAAAAUUCAUUGAUAAUGCAAAAAUUUCUUAACAAUCAUUUGACUGUUAUCUUAAUUUUACAGUCUCUUAAAUGAUAAAAGUGAUAGGAUGCAAAUUCUGCCUAUUUAGUAUAUGUUUUAAUAUAUUUAAUUUGAUUUGAUUUUGCUAAAUUAUGAAUAUUUUUUUCCCUUUUAUAAUAUUAGCCAAUUUUAUUCAUUCUAGAAAGAAAAAUUCUAUUUUAAAAGUUUAGACAAGAAUCAGAAUUGGAGUCCUAAAUCUAGCCUUGAACAUGUCUUAUACUGUGAGCACAACUUAUAUGAGUUAACUUAUAGUGAGAAGUGAAUGGAGUCAUGAAAUAAAUCUUAGGCAUGCUUCAUAUAAAGGUCACACAUAGAAUUUAUUGAAAAGCAAGUAAAGCUAUAGAGUAAACCUUGGGCUAAGCAUGCACAGACUUAUGCAAUGUCACAGAAUUUUCAUAUCUAAUUCUCUAUUAAAUUGUAAAAAUCAAUUUAGGAAGAAAUGAUUUUACAAAGAAAUGACACUUUUAGAUUGUUACUUCUAGAUUUUCUUUUAUUUCUCUUUAGUUUAGGAUUACUCUCGUUUAAAAAAUGGAAGGUUCUUUGAAUGGGAGAACUUUUGAAACUCAUGAUGCUUUACUUUUUUGCUUUUAUGAUUAGUUCUUUGAAUGGAAAAAUGGAAGAUUCUUUGAAUUAAAAAAACACAUAAAAAAAUAUUCACACAAGUGUAAUCAAACUGAACUGAACUGAUUUUUGUAAAAUUUAGAUUCAUUUAUUAAAAAAUUUUAAAAAUUCGACCUCGAGCUGGUUUAAACUCAAUUCGAAAAUUAAAUACUAUAAUCGAGUUCAGUUCACACUCGACUCAUAAAAAACUCGUUUAGUAUAAUAACGAAUCUAAUAACUUGACUCAUAAAAAACUCAUUUAGUAUAAUAAUGAGUCUAAUUUCAACUUUAAUAUGAAAAUUUGAAUUAAAAAAUUUAAAUUCGAAAAAUUCAAUUAAAAAACUCCAACUCGAAAAAUUCUAAAACAAUUUGAUGAUUUAUUUUUAAUUGUAAUCAAUUAAAUUAAAAGUUAAAACAAUAUAUUAUCAUUUAAUUCACAUCAGAUCAACUUACCUUGCGUCCAUCUAAAGAUACUAAUUAAUUAAUUAGUUAGAAGACCUUCUAGAGUGUCAAUAGCAAUAAUGCCGAUGAAAUAGGAUCUCCACACUUGCUUUUCGUUGUUUAUAAAGGAAUUUAAUAAGAAUGUUUUUAAAGUGUUGAUUUGAUUUGUCCGCAUAAAUUGAGGGAAAAAGAACAAAAAAGGAAAGGACGAAGCAAUUCAUAUAUAUAAUAACAAGUUUUUCCAAAAAGAGAAAACACGAUAUUUUUUCCUAAAUCUAAACUAAAAACAGACUUUAAAAAAAAAAAAAAACUGUAUGCAUGUUUCUCCAAAAUUUAACAAGGAUUCGAGUAUGUGUCUCCAAAAUUUAGUAGAAAAUUUUGAAUAUGCAAAUUAACAAUUUAUUUGAGUGUAUAAAUAAUUUGGAUUGAACAAAUAAUUUUCUCAAUUUCCUCAUUUUUUAGGAAGGCUUUGUAGUGCGUCAAGGGCAGUGGGUUCCAAGCAACUAAAUAAUUAGAUUGACUUCCCACUUGCUUUUCCUUUUUGGCAACGGGAAAAUAAGACCACUUAAUGAGAAUUACUAGGAAAUGAUAAACAUCAAUAAAUAAAUAAUUCAAGAGGAAGACUAGGUAGACUAUUCUUCUGAUGGCCAGAAAUUUUCAUAUACUUUAACAUAGAAAUUAAGAAUUUUCCUUCAGUCUAAAUUAACCCCUUGUCGAAGGCAAGACUUUUAUAAGUCUUUCUAAGUAAACAUAUAUAGAAACUAAGCACUAUAAAUAGAUACAGAAACUCCAUUCAUUCCCACCAAACAUAAGCACUAAUCUCCAACCUCAAUUGAUUGGUAGUUGGAGACUUUUAGCAGCUCAAUCCAAUGAUUCCUAAAACCUUCCAACUUUUUGGAGCCAUUUUGCUCCUCUUCUUGUUUCAGUUACCAAACAGAAUCCAAUCAAAACCAAGUGGAAAUCCUUUUGGGUUUAUCCAACACCUAGAGGGAUGCCACAAGGGUGAAUCUAUAAGUGGGCUCAAGGACCUUAAACGAUAUCUUGAGAAAUUUGGGUACUUGAAUUACGCCGAAAAAAGCAGAAACAACCAUGCAAAUGAUGAUGAGUUUGAUGAUCUUUUGGAGGCAGCAAUCAAGGAUUACCAACACUACUAUCACCUGCAAGCCACAGGAGUUUUAGACAAUAAUACAGUAUCUCAAAUGACGAAACCUAGAUGUGGGGUGCCAGAUGUUGUAAAAAAUGGCACAAACAAGCACUACCAUAAUCCCAAAUCCAUCCACUCAGUAGCCCAUUUCAGCUUCUUCCCUGG